AUAAUCAGAAAAUGAAUUCCCUUCUACGGCCAGUACAUGCAAAAUUUGGAAUUCUCACUUAUUUCUUCUUUGUUUGUUCUCUUGGGACAACAAUGAAGAUAUUUUGUUAGAUCAACCAAUUUCUGAAGAAAAUCUUGAUUUGUUAUGAAGAACCAGAGGAGAUUAAGAAGUAGAAGAAGAGGGAAAAAAAAUGAAAAAAAAGAACACAAAAAUCUUUAGUGGUUUAGCCAAGAUGCCUAUAUCCAUCGUGCAAAAGGGAGGGUAAACUUUAUUGCUUUCAAUUUUUGUAAAGAUUUUUACAAAGAUAAACUAAUGUUCUCGUAACUCACUUCUGUUCUUAUUUAUAUGUAGAGAUUACAAAGAAGAAGAAAAAAAAAGAGAAGUGAGCUAAAUGCGAGCUAGGUUGUUACAACAUAAAAACUGGGUAACUCGAGCCUGAGGAGUUCGAGACAUCGACUGUGCUUGAUUUGCAACACGGGUUUAGUCAACAUAUCAGCUGCAUUGUCUGAGGCAGUAGACGACGGCGUAGAGUGAAUUGAUGGCUCGGCACGAGGUGACACGAACGACGUGGGAUAAAUCGAUGAUGCGGACGGUGUGGAGUGAAUUGACGGUGACGGGUUGAGCAGAUUCGAUCGAUGGCACGACGAGGCGAGCAAAUCCGAUCGACGACGACGGGGAGAGAGAUCCAUAGUGACCAUGGCUAAAGAAGA